GUUUCAGGAUAGGAAAGGGCCUUAUCUCUCCCCCUCCCCCUCCUGCUCAUGCAGGGGGGUUCUUGGAGUACCACCAGAAGGAGCAUUUCCGGAGGCCCCAGCGGGAGGAUGAGCUAUAGAGUCAAUGUUUGGGGUGACUGAAGAAUUAACCUCUGAUUCAGCUGCUGGCAACAGGUGAAAAUAUUUUUAAAGAAGUUGAGAAAACUCCAAUCAAUAUUCCUAAGGUGAAAUCAGCUAUGAUGUGUUACAGCCUAUGUAAGCAGAAACAGGCUCAUUUUGACAGAUUUCCACUUGUGAAAAUGAAUGAAUUGUGACUUAAAUCUUUUGUCCAAAGCAGAUUAUUAUCGUUUGAAACUUUUGACCGUGGAAAAGUAAUUACAAGAGUAUAUGACAACAUAGAGACUAUUCCCCUACCCAGCUUCAACCAUUAUCUGCUCCUGGUCAGUCUCUUUUCAUCCAGGCCCUUACCGACUGGACCUUCU